UACGGAGGGUGCAAGCGUUGCUCGGAAUUAUUGGGCGUAAAGGGUAGGUAGGUGGUCUUAUUUGUCUGGGGUGAAAGCCUUGAGCUUAACUCAAGAAGUGCCCCAGAAACGGUAAGACUAGAGUCCUGGAGAGGGUCGUGGAAUUCCCGGUGUAGCGGUGAAAUGCGUAGAUAUCUGGAGGAAUACCGGUGGCGAAGGCGGCAUCCUGGACCGACAUUGACGCUGAACGGCGAAAGCUAGGGGAGCAAACGGG
rnacentral:rRNA from 1 species